GGCUGGUCUGCAGGUAGUGAGUUAUCUCAAUUGAUUGUUCACACUCAGUUAUAGAUCCAGCUCUUUGUUCUACUCAUUCCCCCUUCUCACUACUGCACUGGACUAGUCUUAU
ensembl:Y_RNA Y_RNA Y RNA